AACGUAGGUGGCGAGCGUUAUCCGGAUUUACUGGGCGUAAAGCGUGUGCAGGUGGCCUGUUAAGUGGUGUAUGAAAUCGCCCGGCUCAACCGGGCGGGGUUAUGCCAGACUGGCAGGCUAGAGGGUGAGAGAGGGAUGUGGAAUUCCGGGUGUAGUGGUCGAAAUGCGUAGAGAUCCGGAGGAACCCCAGAGGCGAAGGCGGCAUCCUGGCCCACGACUGACACUCAGACACGGACAGCAUGGGGAGCGAACGGG
rnacentral:rRNA from 1 species